CUGUAGACCAGAAGUGUUUAUAGAAUUCUGAUGGGUAACCGUCUAAACCUGGCACUUUGUUAUUUGAUAGUGAAGAAAUGGCCUUCUUAUAAUCAUCUGCUAUUAAUGGUUCUUCUAGUGCAGCAGUUUGUUUUGGAUUGAAUGUAGGUAUACCUGUGAAAAUUGGGUUGUCUCGCACACUACGACACUAAACAACAGCCAUCACAUAAUUUAUUAAGUAAAUAGAAGGCUUGCUUUUGGUGCCAAAACGGACUCUACUUGUACAACAUGGCUCAUGCAGAUACAUGUGCAUUGUGUCACAAACAUAUUGUUGAAGACAAUACAUCACAAACAGUCUUAAGACUUUUUGGAAAACUGACCGACUCUUACAUUGGAGUCUCGGACAAAUAUCAACCUAAAGUACAAAUUCUACACUGAGCUGGACAAACAUACUCCACGACUGAUGGCCAUCUACAGACAGAAGGCUGUCCGCACUGGCAAGAUAGCAGAAGCAAUGAGAAGCAUUUUUUAUUAAUUUAUUAAUGUACACAUCACUUCAUAAAGAGAUAUUGAUAUCUGUCAAGUGUUUAACUGUAUAUAAAAAUAAAAAAUAAAAAACUCUUUUUUUGUUUGUUUGUUGCUUUCACUUGCUGCCUGCCCUCAGCACAUUGAUAUCAAUAACAUACAUGCAGCUGCUUUUUGGCCCCUCCAGUCUACCUGAGUGAAGAUGACUUUC